UUCGGGAACUCGGAGACAGGUGCUGCAUGGCUGUCGUCAGCUCGUGUCGUGAGAUGUUGGGUUAAGUCCCGCAACGAGCGCAACCCUUGUCUUUAAUUGCCAGCAUUCAGUUGGGCACUUUAAAGAGACUGCCGGUGUUAAGCCGGAGGAAGGUGGGGAUGACGUCAAGUCCUCAUGGCCUUUAUGCCCAGGGCUACACACGUGCUACAAUGGGUGGUACAAAGAGAUGCCAACUCGCGAGAGCGCGCCAAUCUCAGAAAGCCAUCCUCAGUUCGGAUUGGAGUCUGCAACUCGACUCCAUGAAGUUGGAAUCGCUAGUAAUCGCGGAUCAGCACGCCGCGGUGAAUACGUUCCCGGGCCUU
rnacentral:rRNA from 1 species